rnacentral:rRNA from 1 species
GGCCAGACUCCUACGGGAGGCAGCAGUGGGGAAUAUUGCACAGUGGGGGAAACCCUGAUGCAGCAACGCCGCGUGAGUGAAGAAGUCAUUCGUGAUGUAAAGCUCUAUCAGCAGGGAAGAAAAUGACGGUACCUGAGUAAGAAGCCCCGGCUAACUACGUGCCAGCAGCCGCGGUAAUACGUAGGGGGCAAGCGUUAUCCGGAUUUACUGGGUGUAAAGGGAGCGUAGACGGCGAUGCAAGUCUGAAGUGAAAGCCCGGGGCUCAACCCCGGGACUGCUUUGGAAACUGUAUGGCUGGAGUGCUGGAGAGGCAAGCGGAAUUCCUAGUGUAGCGGUGAAAUGCGUAGAUAUUAGGAAGAACACCAGUGGCGAAGGCGGCUUGCUGGACAGUAACUGACGUUGAGGCUCGAAAGCGUGGGGAGCAAACAGGAUUAGAUACCCUUGUAG